rnacentral:snoRNA from 14 species
CUAUUUAUGAUGAUUUCCCUUAAUUUUACCAUCUUUCGGGUCUGAAUUAAGAUGUGUUGAUAUUAUGGGAUAUACUGAAAUAG